rnacentral:rRNA from 1 species
AUACGGAGGAUGCAAGCGUUAUCCGGAUUUAUUGGGUUUAAAGGGUGCGUAGGCUGACGUGUAAGUCAGAGGUGAAAUGCCCGGGCUCAACCUGGGAACUGCCUUUGAUACUGCAUGUCUGGAGUUCGGAUGCCGUGGGAGGAAUGGGCAGUGUAGCGGUGAAAUGCAUAGAUAUUGCCCAGAACACCGAUUGCGAAGGCAUCUCACGAAUCCGACACUGACGCUGAGGCACGAAAGCGUGGGGAUCAAACAGGAUUAGAUACCCUGGUAGUCCACGCAGUAAACGAUGAUAACUAACCGUCGGCGAUAGACAGUCGGUGGCCAAGCGAAAGCGAUAAGUUAUCCACCUGGGGAGUACGUUCGCAAGAAUGAAACUCAAAGGAAUUGACGGGG